CCCACUCCACAGAAUCCUCUCAGGCCCUUCGCAGCUGCAUGAGCUUACCACAUGUCUCCAGAAACAGCAGCUCCCCUUCAACCCCACAGCCUGCCCUAUGGCUCCUUGUCUGGUGCUGCCACAGAGCAUCAGGCUCAACCAGCUCUCAGCCCAGCAGCAGACCCUCACACACCCCAGCACCUCUGUGGCGUCACCACAGCCCAUCGCGUGGCACACACGUUCUGAUCUGUGAACAAAAAAACACCAGAGCCAAGCAGCUUCUUCCUCUUCUUGAAAUACGGUUGUUGAUGAGUAAGUUUGAGAAUCAUAGCUGCAGUAUUUUAUUAUAGAGACAUUUUUGCCUUUAAUGAUUAAACAUGGUGAAUUAUUGUACUAAUAGGAACCUGAUUUUAUGUUUUAAAAGUCAGUAGUUAAGAAUAUAUUUAUAUUAAAUCUGUGUAGUCUGUAUCAUAAAUAGGCUGCCUUGGGCUAAAAAAUAAUUAAAAAAAAAACUAUAGUAAACAUUUUCUAGUUGUUGAUGUUUAAUCACAAGUAUUAAUUUCACAGUACAUUAAAGGAGUGGGGGGAUAGAGGGCGGAAAAGGCAAAUCUUGUGAAUUUAAAAACUCAGAACAGGUGGAAUGGGCCAGAUGAGCUCCUAUUAUCUCUGUCAGUAUGAUGCCAGCUAACUUGGUCCAAAGCGUUAAGACCAUAAAGUAAUCUGAAUCACCUUAAGCUGAAGUGGAAGAGGAACACUUGAAAAUACACUUCGCAUUUCAGCAGGAAACUUCCAGCAGAGAAUGUAACAAUUAGUAGAGGAGCUCAGUAGAUUCACAAAGAGACAUCUGAUUAUGCCUUAUUACCUGUGAUCAAGGCAAUUGAAUUAUGUCAAAGUGUUUGCCAUAUUUGUCAUGAAAUACAUAUUAGGCUGAAAGAUUUUAAGCUCAAAGAGGUCCCUCAGAAUUCUGUAACAUACUACAGUGAAGGGGAAAUAAUUACUUUAAGACAUCUUUGGAUAAUCCCAAGCCUGGUUUAUGUGUGUAUUUCACUCCUUCUGUGCUAAGUUUAGCUUAAAGAAUUUAUUCAUUAUCAGGACUUAGUCCUGUUAGAAUAUACAGACAUACGUUAGGAUAUACGGACACCUGGAGCAGUGUAAGGAGGGAGGAAUCUUUUCCCAUUCCCUUGCUAUUAUGUAGCUACAGGAAACAGAAACAAUAAAGAAGCUGAAACAGUGGCUUAAUUCAUCUGAGCAUUUGCCCAUAAACGAGUGAUAUUCUGGUGACCAGCUGUGCUGGCUUUAGAGCUUUGUUAGGCUGAUUCCAAGUGCAAAGUGGUCACAUCACAUCCACAUAUCUCAGGAUACAAGCAACCUUCAUAGUUUUAACUCUGCUGCCUACCAUACAAUCAUUGCAGAGCUCUCUUCACUCACUAGAAAGGAUUAAUUGGUAUUUAAUGAUUUGAUUGAAAAUAGGUUAAAUUAACUGCCUUACUUGUUUUCUAUAAACUUCUUUGAUGUAAAAUGUAGUGCAGCAAAGAAUGAUUUUAUAUAUUUUUAUGGCAGAAGGAUCACAGAAACUUGCCAUUGGCAACAACGAAGAUGAAGAAAAAGGUCAUGGAAGCAGCAACAUCAAGACUACUAACAAUCCAAAUAGUAUUGAUGAAGUAGGUGAAGAAAGUUAAGAUUCUGAGGAAAAUUUGUCAGGAAAUUCUAUGGUUUUCCAGUCAAUGAUUUUGAUCCUCCAACAGAUACAUUACAAUAUAUUGUUUAGUGUUUUUCUUCUAAAUUUCAAUGAUUUUUACUAUCAUUAAUAUCAAGCCCUAGGAUUUCUAUAGUCAUAUUACUUUCAAACUUAUGCCUGUAAAAGCUGCUUUGUUCUCUACCUUGUGGAUGCAUUCAUACUUGGUACAUAGAAGUAGUUGGAGGUACACUGCAUUAGACUUGAAUGGGGGGAAAGUAAGUCUUUCAGUAUGAUGAUGGGGAUCCUGCUACUGUUUUCAGUGACAGAAAUGCCACCUAAAAAUGAAAACACAACUUGCUGAAAAAUGUUGUGGUUUUAUGGAUUUGACCUGAACAAAACAGCUGUUAAGAGUACUUCAACUGAAAAAUUUUACCCAACUCUUUGUCUUGUUCAGAUUUGGAGAUAAACAUAUAACAAUGUAUAAAUGUCAGUUGUAAAACUGAUCAGAAACUGUACAUGACUGAUAAGAUUGUGGCUUUUGCCAGUUUUGUAUUAAUUAUUGUUAACAUUUAUAAAAGUUAUGGAUUGAGGUAGCAUGCACUACAGCAGAGAUGAUAGAUGUGACUGCUAUGUACAAUUCAUGCUCAGCUGAGGAAGUUGAAUUCACAUUCCUAGCGGCUUUGGUCUGCGUAAAGAAAUUACAAGAUUGAAUUUCUUGAGUAAAUUUACCACCAAUAAUUCAACUAUUUCUCUGGCUACAGAUAGGCUGUAGAAGGAACAGAAGUUUGGUUUGCAGAAGUAGAUAAGGGAUAAGUAUGUCAGCUGCUUUACAGAGAAAAGUGGGAUAGGGUACUUUUCUCAUUUAAAUUGAAAGGAAAUGAAGCAAUCAAGCUUAUUGAGGCAGUGAUUUCUGAAUUACUAGUUUUUGUGUCUGCAUCACUCAUCUCCUCUUGCUUUUUUUUUUUUUUUUUUUUUUUUUUUUUUUUUUAAUUUAGAGAUUUUUUGUAAAAUAGAACCAUUUGCUUAAGUUCUAUAUGAAUUCAUAUCCAUGCUUUUAAAAUCUGGAGACUGUUCCUCCUACUUUAUAGAUAUGCUCAUUUUUCUUGGGCUGGCAUUAAGACUUUUAAAUGAUUCAGAUAUGCUCUUGAGCAGCAAAUUCCCUUUUUAGUUGAGUAUCUCAAUAAUAGAUCGGAUGUAUAAACUCAAGAUGGUUUACAUUUUGUGCUAAUAUCUUCUGCCAUUUUUAAUGCAGGCAUCUAUGUGGGAUGUCUGCCAUAUGUAUUACCUCAAAUCAGUUGGUGUCCAUAUGGUGAAGUCUAAGUGAACCAUGUUACAGUGCUGAAAGAAACAGAUAAUAAGCCAAGUGUUUUUUGAAAGUCUGAAUUGACUGGCAUGCCUAUUAAAAGGUAUGCAUUUAGCUGCACAGAUAGAGCAAUUCUUCUGCUUAUAAGUGAUUAAAAAAAUACUCUGAUUUCAGCCAUGCUGCUGCAGUUUGAGGCUCCUCACCAACUGUUACUGUAUUUACAGCUUAUUUUUAAAAAUAGUGAGAAUUGUGUUGUAUGAAAUCCUAAGUUAUGUUGGGAGGGAGAAUUGGACUGAGUGUAAUCACGUUCAGUAAAGUCAACUAAUGAAAACCAAAUAUGGCUAACAUGCAGUUCUGGGAUAGGCUGAAGAGAAUAUACAGUAACCACAUAUAUUAAACACAUGAACACAUUAAGGUUUACUAUUGCUCUUCUUUAAGAAAUUCUAAGGCCUAAUAUAGAUGUCUGAAACUGUAUAGCAGCCAUUUGAUGCUAUAAUUUUGAGGGGGUUAUUUCCUUUCACCUCAAAGUAAGAAAAGCCUCUAUUUGCCGAUAGUGAGUCGAAGUGUUGCCAAAUGAUGCUUUGUGUGCUCUUUUUUAUGAGAAUCAAAUUAUCAAAUAAUAAAGAAAUGGUCUAAGUUUAUAGCUCUUGAAGAAAUAAUUGGUUAAUAUUCAUUCAAUUAGAUGUGCUUGUAUGCAGACUUCUUUUUUUUAAUUGUCUUUAGUUUCUGGGGUGUCUCUGUGUUGUGUUACUUAUCAUUUAGUAAUUCCUCAUACAAAUCUGUUUGGGUAAAUAGGACCAAUAAGAUGUUUUUCAAAAGUGUCUGAAUCUUACUCUUUGUAUGGACACUGCUGAAUCACGGCCUGAACCUCUGAUUGACCACCUGAGGUGAGCAAUGAGUCAGCCCUGGGAGCACAGGUGAAGGCAAUUCUCCUGUGCUGCCUGAAGGGGUGGAGCCUGGCUGCACCUCUCCUAGACCCCAUUUCAGAGCUGACUGCCAGUGGGGAAGGAUCUCUUUUGGAGAUAGCUCCUCUUGGAGUCUUCUCAGGGAGUCCAGGACAAGAGUAAAUUUUCCAUCCAUUCUUCUUUAGUGUGAUGACCUGUUUAGGCUAACUUUCCUGUAUAUUUCUUAAUAAUAACAUAUGUAUAUUCAUUGAUUACACACUCUUACAAGGCUUCACAUUUCAUCUUUCUUGUAAAGAAACUACUGCAAAGAAAAACUUUUCUUUCCCAAUUACUUUAAAAAUGUCUAUCAUCUGUUUUCAGGGGCCAGGCUGCAAACUGCCACAGGACUUUCCAUAGUCCGCCUUUGGCAAACAAUGGAUACGUUAAUGUCUGAAAUAACUCAGAACUAAUUGACCCCAAUACACAAGCUGAGUUGUGGAUCUAUUUUAGAUACUGGAGAGGAGAAUUCUGUAUUCUUCUACACCCUAAAAAGAUAUGUUGGUCAUUUUGCAGUCUGCAGAUCCCUAAUGCCUUUGUAUACAAUUUUCUGUGAAGUGAUCACUAGAAAUACAUCUCUAACUUCAGGCUUUUCUUUAUGAUAUGAACAGCAUAAGCUAGGAUAUGUUGAAUUAUUCAUAAUUUUUGCUGCCUUACCUUCAGUUUAUUUAGCCUGGACUUCUACUAAAAGAGAUUAUUAAUCUCUGAAGAAAUAAGUUGU